AGCAGCCGCGGUAAUUCCAGCUCCAAUAGCGUAUAUUAAAGUUGUUGCAGUUAAAAAGCUCGUAGUUGAAUUUCGGGGUCAGUAGGUUGGUCGUGCCACUGGUAUGCACUGGUCUCACUGAUUCCUCCUUCCUGAUGAGCCGUAAUGCCAUUAAUUUGGUGUUGCGGGGAAUCUGGACUGUUACUUUAGAAAAAUUAGAGUGUUUAAAGCAGGCUAACGCUUGAAUACAUUAGCAUGGAAUAAUGAAAUAGGACGAUCGAUCCUAUUUUGUUGGUUUCUAGGAUUGACGUAAUGAUUAAUAGGGAUAGUUGGGGGCAUUAGUAUUCAAUUGUCAGAGGUGAAAUUCUUGGAUUUAUUGAAGACUAACUACUGCGAAAGCAUUUGCCAAGGAUGUUUUCAUUAAUCAAGAACGAAAGUUAGGGGAUCGAAGACGAUCAGAUACCGUCGUAGUCUUAACCAUAAACUAUGCCGACUAGGGAUCGGAUGAUGUUAAUUUUUAAUGACUCAUUC
rnacentral:rRNA from 1 species